rnacentral:rRNA from 1 species
GACGAACGCUGGCGGCGUGCUUAACACAUGCAAGUCGAACGGAAAGGCCCUGCUUUUGUGGGGUGCUCGAGUGGCGAACGGGUGAGUAACACGUGAGUAACCUGCCCUUGACUUUGGGAUAACUUCAGGAAACUGGGGCUAAUACCGGAUCGGAGCUCCUGCUGCAUGGUGGGGGUUGGAACGUUUCGGCGGUUGGGGAUGGACGCGCGGCUUAUCAGCUUGUUGGUGGGGUAGUGGCUUACCAAGGCUUUGACGGAUAGCCGGCCGGAGAGGGUGACCGGGCACAAGGGGACUGAGAGACGGACCAGAGUGAUACGGGAGGCAGCAGGGGGGAAUAUGGCACAAUGGGCGGAAGCCUGAUGCAGCAACGCCGCGGGCGGGAUGACGGCCUUCGGGUUGUAAACCGCUUUCGGCUGUGACGAAGCGUGAGUGACGGUAAUGGGUAAAGAAGCACCGGCUAACUACGUG